rnacentral:rRNA from 1 species
GCUUACGGCCAUACCACUCUGAACACGCCCCAUCUCGUCCGAUCUCGGAAGCUAAGCAGGGUCGGGCCUGGUUAGUACUUGGAUGGGAGACCGCCUGGGAACACCAGGUGCUGUAAGCUU